rnacentral:rRNA from 1 species
GGGUUGUGAGGUUAAGCGACUAAGCGUACACGGUGGAUGCCCUGGCAGUCAGAGGCGAUGAAGGACGUGCUAAUCUGCGAAAAGCGUCGGUAAGGUGAUAUGAACCGUUAUAGCCGGCGAUGUCCGAAUGGGGAAACCCAGUGCAAUUCGUUGCACUAUCGUUAACUGAAUACAUAGGUUAACGAGGCGAACCGGGGGAACUGAAACAUCUAAGUACCCCGAGGAAAAGAAAUCAACCGAGAUUCCCCCAGUAGCGGCGAGCGAACGGGGAGCAGCCCGGAGUCUGAAUCAGCUUGUGUGUUAGUGGAAGCGUCUGGAAAGUCGCAGGGUACAGGGUGAUACUCCCGUACACUAAAACACACAGGUUGUGAACUCGAAGAGUAGGGCGGGACACGUGGUAUCCUGUCUGAAUAUGGGGGGACCAUCCUCCAAGGCUAAAUACUCCUGACUGACCGAUAGUGAACCAGUACCGUGAGGGAAAGGCGAAAAGAACCCCGGCGAGGGGAGUGAAAAAGAACCUGAAACCGUGUACGUACAAGCAGUAGGAGCCCACUUGUUGGGUGACUGCGUACCUUUUGUAUAAUGGGUCAGCGACUUAUAUUCUGUAGCAAGGUUAACCGUAUAGGGGAGCCGCAGGGAAACCGAGUCUUAACUGGGCGUUAAGUUGCAGGGUAUAGACCCGAAACCCGGUGAUCUAGCCAUGGGCAGGUUGAAGGUUGGGUAACACUAACUGGAGGACCGAACCGACUAAUGUUGAAAAAUUAGCGGAUGACUUGUGGCUGGGGGUGAAAGGCCAAUCAAACCGGGAGAUAGCUGGUUCUCCCCGAAAGCUAUUUAGGUAGCGCCUCGUGAACUCAUCUUCGGGGGUAGAGCACUGUUUCGGCUAGGGGGUCAUCCCGACUUACCAACCCGAUGCAAACUACGAAUACCGAAGAAUGUUAUCACGGGAGACACACGGCGGGUGCUAACGUCCGUCGUGAAGAGGGAAACAACCCAGACCGCCAGCUAAGGUCCCAAAGUCAUGGUUAAGUGGGAAACGAUGUGGGAAGGCCCAGACAGCCAGGAUGUUGGCUUAGAAGCAGCCAUCAUUUAAAGAAAGCGUAAUAGCUCACUGGUCGAGUCGGCCUGCGCGGAAGAUGUAACGGGGCUAAACCAUGCACCGAAGCUGCGGCAGCGACGCUUAUGCGUUGUUGGGUAGGGGAGCGUUCUGUAAGCCGUUGAAGGUGGCCUGUGAGGGUUGCUGGAGGUAUCAGAAGUGCGAAUGCUGACAUAAGUAACGAUAAUGCGGGUGAAAAACCCGCACGCCGGAAGACCAAGGGUUCCUGUCCAACGUUAAUCGGGGCAGGGUGAGUCGACCCCUAAGGCGAGGCCGAAAGGCGUAGUCGAUGGGAAACAGGUUAAUAUUCCUGUACUCGGUGUUACUGCGAAGGGGGGACGGAGAAGGCUAUGUUGGCCGGGCGACGGUUGUCCCGGUUUAAGCAUGUAGGCGGAUGUUCCAGGUAAAUCCGGAACGUUACUAACGCUGAGGUGUGAUGACGAGGCACUACGGUGCUGAAGUGACAAAUGCCCUGCUUCCAGGAAAAGCCUCUAAGCAUCAGGUAACAUCAAAUCGUACCCCAAACCGACACAGGUGGUCAGGUAGAGAAUACCAAGGCGCUUGAGAGAACUCGGGUGAAGGAACUAGGCAAAAUGGUGCCGUAACUUCGGGAGAAGGCACGCUGAUGGUAGGUGAAGUGACUUGCUCAUGGAGCUGAAAUCAGUCGAAGAUACCAGCUGGCUGCAACUGUUUAUUAAAAACACAGCACUGUGCAAACACGAAAGUGGACGUAUACGGUGUGACGCCUGCCCGGUGCCGGAAGGUUAAUUGAUGGGGUUAUCCGUAAGGAGAAGCUCUUGAUCGAAGCCCCGGUAAACGGCGGCCGUAACUAUAACGGUCCUAAGGUAGCGAAAUUCCUUGUCGGGUAAGUUCCGACCUGCACGAAUGGCGUAAUGAUGGCCAGGCUGUCUCCACCCGAGACUCAGUGAAAUUGAACUCGCUGUGAAGAUGCAGUGUACCCGCGGCAAGACGGAAAGACCCCGUGAACCUUUACUAUAGCUUGACACUGAACACUGGUCCUUGAUGUGUAGGAUAGGUGGGAGGCUUUGAAGUGUGGACGCCAGUCUGCAUGGAGCCAUCCUUGAAAUACCACCCUUUAAUGGCUGGUGUUCUAACGUGGGCCCGUAAUCCGGGUUGCGGACAGUGUCUGGUGGGUAGUUUGACUGGGGCGGUCUCCUCCUAAAGAGUAACGGAGGAGCACGAAGGUCAGCUAAUCCUGGUCGGACAUCAGGAGGUUAGUGCAAUGGCAUAAGCUGGCUUGACUGCGAGCGUGACGGCGCGAGCAGGUGCGAAAGCAGGUCAUAGUGAUCCGGUGGUUCUGAAUGGAAGGGCCAUCGCUCAACGGAUAAAAGGUACUCCGGGGAUAACAGGCUGAUACCGCCCAAGAGUUCAUAUCGACGGCGGUGUUUGGCACCUCGAUGUCGGCUCAUCACAUCCUGGGGCUGAAGUAGGUCCCAAGGGUAUGGCUGUUCGCCAUUUAAAGUGGUACGCGAGCUGGGUUUAGAACGUCGUGAGACAGUUCGGUCCCUAUCUGCCGUGGGCGCUGGAGAAUUGAGGGGGGCUGCUCCUAGUACGAGAGGACCGGAGUGGACGCAUCACUGGUGUUCGGGUUGUCAUGCCAAUGGCAUUGCCCGGUAGCUAAAUGCGGAAGAGAUAAGUGCUGAAAGCAUCUAAGCACGAAACUUGCCCCGAGAUGAGUUCUCCCUGACUCCUUGAGAGUCCUGAAGGAACGUUGAAGACGACGACGUUGAUAGGCCGGGUGUGUAAGCGCAGCGAUGCGUUGAGCUAACCGGUACUAAUGAACCGUGAGGCUUAACCUUACAACGCCGAAG